rnacentral:lncRNA from 1 species
GCGAAGACGAAAAGAGAGAGAUAGAAAGAAAGAUAAAUUUUUGUAGGAACAAAUUUGUAAGGACAUAAUAGUUAUUUUACACGUCCGCCGUUAAAAAACUAAUGGUGAAUCAAAUGGGCAGGGAUACAAAUGCACGAAUCAAAACUUUUAGAGAGAUAUAUUUGCCAACUAAAAAACUUUCGAAGGAAUAAUAUCUUGUUUGUUUCCGUAGUAAUAUUGUGUUCCGUAUAUUGUAAUGGGCAGGGAUCAAAACUAACGGUGAAUCAAAUGGGCAGGGAUACAAAUGCACAAAUCAAAACUUUUAGGGAGAUAUAUUUGCCAACUAAAAAAUUUUCGAAGGAAUAAUAUCUUGUUUGUUUCCGUAGUAAUAUUGUGUUCCGCACAUCGUAAUGAAUCGGUUAUGAUUUAUUUUCUGUGAUCCCACUGGAGAACGCAGAAGUCCAUCCCUAUAUGCUUUUAUCCCAAGUCUAUUUUGGCUAAAUUAUAAAAAAUUUUCUUGUCAAUAUUCGCUUUUUUUACUUUCCCCCAUUGUCAUUAAAAAACCUACAUUUUGCCCUUUAAAAAAUAAAAAAUGUUCAUUUCGGCCCCCGUCGUUAAUGUUCUGUUUAUAUCCCAUUUUUUAUACCAAAAAUACUUCUGAAACUCUCAUCUCCUCCUCCUUCCUCAUUGACAUCCUCGGCCGCGCUGCCUCGCCCUACUCCGCCGCCUUGCACUCGCCCUCGAGGGAGGCACGGGCGAGGGUGUGGGAUGAGCAGGAUUAGAAAGGAGACGAAUAAAAUAAGAAUAAUUUCGUCAUUUUAUUAUACCGUACCCUCCUGUGAAUAUUUUUUAUUUUUAAGCAGACAAAGUAAAUUUUUGAAUGACAGAGGAAAAAAGUAAAAAAGCAGAUGUUGACAGGCAAGUUUUCUGUAAUUUAGCCCUCCAUUUUAUUUAAUAACAUCAUAUGAAUCUCAAUACCAAAUUAAAUCUAAAUUUGAUAACUUAAAUUUUAUAAAAAUAAAUUUACUAUUUAAUAUCUUUACAGCAACCUCUAUAAAAUUAACCAAGUCAAAAAAAAAAUACAGUAAACUACCCAUUGUUCACUACACGACAAGAAAAAAGGAAACUUCAAAUACCUCGCUGCGGUUUUAUAAUUUCUCACUUUAGUACCAUAUGGUUUAAAGUGUAUCAAGUUAGUACCUUGUGGUUUCGCACUUUCUCACUUUAGUAUCCUGUGGUUUCGCGCUUUCUCACUUUAGUACUCUGUGGUUUAAUAUUUCAUUAAAUUAUAUACUUCGAAAUGGAUAAUAAAAAAAGAAAAUUAAAACCACCGGGUACUAACUUGAUACAAAAAUAAAAUCAUAGAGUACUAACUUGAUACACGUGAAACAAUAGAGUACUGAAGUGAGAAAGUGCAAAACUACAGAAUACUAACUGGAUAUAUUUUAAACCAUAGAGUACUGAAAUGAGAAAGUGUGAAAUCACAGAAAGGGUAUUUGAAGUAUCCCAAAGAAAA